rnacentral:rRNA from 3 species
GCGACCCCAGGAUGGGCGAGGCCACCCGCCGAGUUUAAGCAUA